ensembl:lncRNA
UCAAGGAUGAAGAACCAGAGCUGAUGUCAAGCAAACAGCUGGUCCUCCAGCAUCUCACCAUCCUGCCUCCUGCCGAAGCUCAUGUCAACAUGUCCUGCUUUGGAAGCUGCAUUGUGGUUCCAUUUGACAAGGAGCACAAAGCAUGCUGAGUACUUUAUGAAGAAAAUAAGAGCCAUAUUGGGUGGAGCUGCAUGUAGACAUGGGAAUGCACAGAACUCCUCAUCUCCUGCUGCCACUGCUUCAGGCAUGUUUCCAGCCACAGACAGGGAAGACCAAGCUCACUGCACCAAGCAAACGAGAAGAAAAAGAUUAAUAGCAUCACUCUCCAGGAAAAACUUCAUCUUCCUGUCCUCAUCUUGCCCUAUGGAGCAUGUUAUCAACUCAAGAAACUCCCAAUAGGAGAGAAAGCAAGUUCACACCCAGCUCUCUGCAGCCCCAGGCUGGAAGAUAGCUCUGCUCAGAGAAUCAUUGAAAAGGCAGCAGAAAUAAAUUUCCCUCCCUGAGCUUUUCAGAGCACAAAAGAUGUGCUUAAACAUGCUGGGAGGUGGCAAUUUGCAAAACAAACAAACAAAAAAAACAAACCAAAAAAUGUUCAUUUUAAUAUCAGCUUGUUU